AUUGAACGCUGGCGGCAGGCCUAACACAUGCAAGUCGAACGGCAACAGGAAGAAGCUUGCUUCUUUGCUGACGAGUGGCGGACGGGUGAGUAAUGUCUGGGAAACUGCCUGAUGGAGGGGGAUAACUACUGGAAACGGUAGCUAAUACCGCAUAACGUCGCAAGACCAAAGAGGGGGACCUUCUGGCCUCUUGCCAUCGGAUGUGCCCAGAUGGGAUUAGCUAGUAGGUGGGGUAACGGCUCACCUAGGCGACGAUCCCUAGCUGGUCUGAGAGGAUGACCAGCCACACUGGAACUGAGACACGGUCCAGACUCCUACGGGAGGCAGCAGUGGGGAAUAUUGCACAAUGGGCGCAAGCCUGAUGCAGCCAUGCCGCGUGUAUGAAGAAGGCCUUCGGGUUGUAAAGUACUUUUAGCGGGGAGGAAGGGAGUAAAGUUAAUACCUUUGCUCAUUGACGUUACCCGCAGAAGAAGCACCGGCUAACUCCGUG
rnacentral:rRNA from 1 species